rnacentral:rRNA from 1 species
UACGAAGGGGGCUAGCGUUGUUCGGAAUUACUGGGCGUAAAGCGCACGUAGGCGGGCGAUUAAGUCAGGGGUGAAAUCCCGGAGCUCAACUCCGGAACGGCCUUUGAUACUGGUCGUCUAGAGAUCGGAAGAGGUGAGUGGAAUUCCCAGUGUAGAGGUGAAAUUCGUAGAUAUUGGGAAGAACACCGGUGGCGAAGGCGGCUCACUGGUCCGAUACUGACGCUGAGGAGCGAAAGCGUGGGGAGCGAACAGG